CAGUAGCCGCGGGAAUACGUAGGGCGCAAGCGUUGUCCGGAAUUAUUGGGCGUAAAGAGCUCGUAGGCGGUCUGUCGCGUCUGGUGUGAAAUCCCGAGGCUCAACCUCGGGCUUGCAUCGGGUACGGGCAGACUAGAGUGCGGUAGGGGAGACUGGAAUUCCUGGUGUAGCGGUGGAAUGCGCAGAUAUCAGGAGGAACACCGAUGGCGAAGGCAGGUCUCUGGGCCGCAACUGACGCUGAGGAGCGAAAGCAUGGGGAGCGAACAGGAUUAGAUACCCCUGUAGUCCCUGUCUCUUAUAA
rnacentral:rRNA from 1 species